rnacentral:rRNA from 1 species
AACGAACGCUGGCGGCGUGCCUCAUACAUGCAAGUCGUACGAGAAAGUCCUGGGCAACCGGGAUGAGUAAAGUGGCGAACUGGUGCGUAACACGUGGGUAACCUGCCUCAAAGCUGGGGAUAAGCCCUCGAAAGGGGUUUAAUACCGGGUAAAUCUUGUCCGGCAUCGGGAGGAGAUCAAAGGUAGCCUAUAUUUAUAAGCUACUGCUUUGAGAUGGGCCCGCGGUCCAUUAGCUUGUUGGUGAGAUAAAAGCCCACCAAGGCUGCGAUGGAUAGCCGACCUGAGAGGGUGUACGGCCACACUGGGACUGAGAUACGGCCCAGACUCCUACGGGAGGCUG